GAAAUUCCUUGUCGGGUAAGUUCCGACCUGCACGAAUGGCGUAACGACUUCCCCACUGUCUCGACCAGGAGCUCGGCGAAAUUGCAGUACGAGUAAAGAUGCUCGUUAAGCGCAGAAGGACGAAAAGACCCCGGGACCUUUACUAUACCUUGGUAUUGGCAUUCGGUGUGGAUUGUGUAGCAUAGGCGGAAGGCUUCGAAGCCACGGCGCCAGCCGCGGUGGAGCCGCAAGGUGAAAUACCGCUCUGUUCGCAUUGGAUGUCUAACCUCGACCAGUCAUCCUGGUCAGGGACAGUGCCUGGCGGGUAGUUUAACUGGGGCGGUUGCCUCCCAAAGAGUAACGGAGGCGCUCAAAGGUUCCCUCAGCCCGGUUGGCAAUCGGGUGGCGAGUGUAAGUGCACAAGGGAGCUUGACUGCGAGACUGACGGGUCGAGCAGGGACGAAAGUCGGAACUAGUGAUCCGGUGCCGGUGUACGGACGCGGCAUCGCUCAACGGAUAAAAGGUACCCCGGGGAUAACAGGCUGAUCAUUCCCAAGAGUCCAUAUCGACGGGAUGGUUUGGCACCUCGAUGUCGGCUCGUCGCAUCCUGGGGCUGGAGCAGGUCCCAAGGGUUCGGCUGUUCGCCGAUUAAAGCGGCACGCGAGCUGGGUUCAGAACGUCGUGAGACAGUUUGGUCUCUAUCCUCUGCGCUCGUCGGAAUGUUGAGGAGGCCUGCCCAUAGUACGAGAGGACCUGGGUGGACGAACCUCUGGUAUGCCGGUUGUCACGCCAGUGGCACGGCCGGUUGGCUACGUUCGGAAGGGAUAACCGCUGAAAGCAUCUAAGCGGGAAGCCUGCUCCAAGAUAAGCAUUCCAUAGGACUACGGGUCCUUGAAGUCCCCAUGCAGAACACGUGGUUGAUAGGCCGGACGUGGAAGCCCCGCGAGGGGUGGAGCCGACCGGUACUAACGGACGAAAGGCAACACAAC
rnacentral:rRNA from 1 species